rnacentral:rRNA from 39 species
ACGGGUGCGUAACGCGUGGGAAUCUGCCCUUGGGUUCGGAAUAACAGUGAGAAAUUACUGCUAAUACCGAAUGAUGACGUAAGUCCAAAGAUUUAUCGCCCAGGGAUGAGCCCGCGUAGGAUUAGCUAGUUGGUGAGGUAAAAGCUCACCAAGGCGACGAUCCUUAGCUGGUCUGAGAGGAUGAUCAGCCACACUGGGACUGAGACACGGCCCAGACUCCUACGGGAGGCAGCAGUGGGGAAUAUUGGACAAUGGGCGAAAGCCUGAUCCAGCAAUGCCGCGUGAGUGAUGAAGGCCUUAGGGUUGUAAAGCUCUUUUACCCGGGAUGAUAAUGACAGUACCGGGAGAAUAAGCUCCGGCUAACUCCGUGCCAGCAGCCGCGGUAAUACGGAGGGAGCUAGCGUUAUUCGGAAUUACUGGGCGUAAAGCGCACGUAGGCGGCUUUGUAAGUUAGAGGUGAAAGCCUGGAGCUCAACUCCAGAACUGCCUUUAAGACUGCAUCGCUUGAAUCCAGGAGAGGUGAGUGGAAUUCCGAGUGUAGAGGUGAAAUUCGUAGA